AAGCUGUUCAAAUGACAUCAUGUAACUCAUUUUUGCUAGCUAGGAUGUUGAUAAAUUAGUCAGUGAAAUGUAAAGCUGCUUAUUUUUGCUGAUGUCUCAUGAUUUGAAGUUCAUUGUUUCUAUUGUUAUUAUAAUUCUACCCUAACAUUUCAUUAAAUCUUUUAAAAUAGAAACAAAAAUAUCAAUAGACAGGUCCAUAAUCUAAAAGACAGUCUUUCACAUGUGGAUGCAAAACAUGUUGGGUGAAACAGACUGACAAACUCGGGUAAACAUAUCUGCAGAUACCUGUCAGCUACUGUACUUCUAGUCCAGAGGUGCCCAAAGUUGGCCCACAAAAGACCUUAAAUUUUUUUAUGUUUCAUGCAUACUUGAAGGUGUAUAAAAUGCAUCACAAAACCUAAUGAACUCGGGUACUAUAGGCUAAAAAUGAAGAGGUUGCGGCAGUGGCACACAGAGAAAAGGAUAUUUAAAAUUGAUUGGCAAAACGAUUUCUUUUUCCUACAAACAGCCUUGGAAAAUAAAACUGCAUUAGUUAUGCAUAAACAGAGUAGUGUUUGCUUAUUUAUUUUUUAAAAUAUUAGAAAAUUAUAAAUUAGGGGUUAUCAGGGCAACUUUAAUUUUAAUAUAACACAACAACAUUUACUUUUGGCCCACGGCCCUCAGUCAGGUUUGGCCCUUGUAAGGAAAAUGUUCGGGCACCAAUGAAUGUUCAAGUCUAUCUGAGGAGGUAACUUUUAGCAUUUGAUAAUGCAUGCUUGCACAAAGUCAGACCACAUAUUAUAAUGUUUGUCUUCAAUCAAUCAAUUUAAACAAAAGAGAUGGGGACUUUAUAAUAUAAUAAGGGUCCAUAUAUCACAGUGAAAAAAGACAUACAUGUAUUUUUACUUUAACAUGAACUAAUGCUGAGUUACAGCAUAUCCUAAUAAUAAACUAUUGAAGAGUCAUCAUUAACUACGACAUGUUUUUCAUUGUUAGUUAAUGCAGUCAUUUACAAUAAAUUAAUUUGAGUUCAUGUUGUAGUUAAGUAAGUUCAGUAAGUUACAUGUCUUAACUCAGCAUUAGUUUAUAUUUACUAAUAUUUAAGUAAGAAUUCAUUUAGGUAUACGUUCAAUGUUUCCAAUGAUGAGCAGUUAAUCCACUAAACCCAGAGAUAAUUCCUGAGGCAUGUUUAAAGAGUUUUGUAUUUCAUCAAGAAGGUGCUGCUGAUUCACAAAGAUUUUAUAUUUAAGAAAAUCUGAGCAUCAUUCCAAAUAACUGUUAACAUGUUUGUCAACUAAACAUGUUUUGUAAACGUAAUAAACUUUAUAAAAAUAUUUUUUAUUUUUUAUUAAUAAUCAAGUAUAAAGAACAAUGCAUAGUGUGAAAACGCGGAUUAUAAAAAGUAUAUUAAAGAAAAGGACUACAUUUCCCAGAAUGCACCUGCACCUACUCAUCUGCCCCCACCCUUCAGGUGCGACUGCUCAACCUAUGGGCUUGACGGGAAAAUUCAAAAUCGCGAACCGUUACUGCCUGGACUACUCCGUCUCUUGUUUGCUCAUUAACAGUAAGAGGUCAUGUACACUGUGGUCAACUUUGUGGACGAUGAAGAGGUUUCUGGGUAGAGCUGAUAGAAAUAUAAUGAAGUAACAGUGAAAGCUAAAACAUCAGACUGAUCCAGACACUGAAGAAAUUGAUAUCACUGCAAUCUGGCCAAAAUGAUACAACUAUAUUGAAGUAGCCUACUGUAAUGAAGCUGCAGAACAACACAGAGACUCUGAGGACAUCAACACAGAAAAUGAAGGCUCCAAAGAGAUGUCUGUCCAGAUGAGGGUGCAUCAACGUUACCUUUGCUGACAAGUAUAUGCUUUACAAUGUAAAACCUAACAGUUAACUUAACUCAAACCAUUUAAGGAAAUCGGUUGCCUUAACCCAUUAAGUUUAAAAAAAAACAUACAUUUGAGUACUGUGAACUUAAGUCUUGUGCAAUAAUGCACAGUUAUAUUUAGUUAGUGUGAACUUAAAUAUAAGUGCAUAACUGCAUGUGACUCAAUUUGUUUAAGUUCACAGUACUCAAAUCUAUGUGUUUUAAAACUUAAAUGGUUUAAUGCAACCGGUUUUCUUAAAUGGUUUGAGUUUAGUUAACUUUUAGGUUUUACAGUGAGAAAUUCUUGAAUAAUUCCAAGACAGAGCUCUGCAAUUGUAUCUACACUGCAAAAAAAUCAGUUUCUAACUUAGGAUUUUUAUCUUGUUUUUAGUAGAAAAACUAAAAAUUCUUAAAUCAAGAUGUAUUUUCUUGAUGAGCAAAAUUACCUAAGAAAAUGUCUAGUUUUUAGACAAAAAUAUACAAUUUAAGUAAAUUUGUGCCUAAACAAGCAAAAAUAUCUAACAAUGGGGUGAGAAAAUUGUGCUUGAAUUAAGUUUUUAAGAAAAAAGAAAACUUAAGAUUUUUUCUCACACCAUUGGCAGAUAUUUUUGCUUGUUUUAAGCACAAAUUCACUUAAAUUGUGUGCAUUUAUUUAUUUUGUCUAAAACUAGACUUAUUUUCUUAGGUCAUUUUGUUCAUCAAGAAAAAGCAUUUUAUUUAAAUAAUAUUUCUACUGAAAACGAGACAAAAAUACUAUGUAAGAAAGUCAUUAUUUUGCAGUGUAGGACUGAUUUCUUGAACAACAACUAUAUUGAUCUUGCUUUAUUUUAUUUAAAUAUUUACUACAUUACAGUGGCAGGUGGUGACUUCUUUUUUUGUGAGCACUCGAUGCAAAGUUUGUCACAACAUGUAUAUAGCCAGUCAUUUGUGUGGUUCAAAAUAUGUGUUCUGCGUGUAUGUGCAUCAUGUGUUUUGACUAAACCCGUGAUGCACAUGGUUUACAUGAAGCAACAAACACAUUUUAAAAACACAAGCAAUACACAUGACACUCCGAACACUUAUUUUGAAUUUGCACCCCUCGGAUGAGCAGUCACGAGCCGCCACUGCUACAUUACAUUGUACUGCUUUGAAUGUAAUUUUUAUUGUUGCUUUUAUUUUGUUUUAUUUUACUCUAAUAUUGCUUUCUCUGUCUGUAUAUUUAUGAGUUUAAAUAGUAUUGUUUAU